rnacentral:lncRNA from 1 species
CUGGACCUUGGCACCAGGCUGGGGAAUACCGUCGCCCACCGGAGGAGAUCGAGGAAGCGAAGGCUGAGAGGCGGCGAUAUGAGGCCAUGAACGCGCUGAUGGAAAAGUACGAGAGGCACCCCCAAUAAAUAUUUUUUGGGGGGGGGCACACGGGUAGAUUGGCUAGGCCAAGGAAAAGCCAUAAGCCAGCUACCCGUGCUUACAUGGAGAGACGUAUGGAGUGGAGGGCGCCGAAAUUUGGAGAAGUGCGCACGAUCUCGCCCAUACGCUCGCACAGUCCCGUGCGAGCUAUUCCAGCCCCUCGUAGAUGCCGUGCUAGAGUGGGCAUCCAGCCUGGUAGGAGGAUGCCUGCGCAGCGCGUCUGGUCGCCGGUACGCCUCCUAGGACCAGGCUACCCUACGCCCGCUCUACGCACGGUAACUAUCAAGCCCUUGCACAGCCCAGUUCUCCCUGUACUAGCACCCCGCUCGUACAGGGCUGCUAGUUCCACCCAGCCAGGACGGGUUGUGCAGGAGGUGCGAGCAAGACCACCUGUGCGCCUCCAUGGCCCGGUCUUUCCAGUUCCCGCCUCUCGUGCUGACCCGGAAGUGCGUACCUCCAGUCUGGCACGACCAGUACCAGCACCAUGGAUCAAGCUUCCCAUGGGUCAGCCUAGUCCUAGUCAGCCUGUUCCCGCUCCUCGCACUAGCCAUGGGGUGUGCGGUUUAAAACGGGCAGUUCCAGUACCAGCACCACGUAUUAGGCCUAUAGUGCAUAAGAGUAAUUCCUCUCGGCCGGUUCCUGCUUCCCGCACUAGCCCUAGGGUGCGUGUCUUCAGCCUGGUACCUCCUCUACCAGCCCCACGCACCAGGCUUCCAGUGCGUCAGCCCAGCCUCGAGAGUUCGGAGACUGUUCCCCGUCCAGAGGAUCCGGCACCAGGGUGCAGUCCAGAGUAUCCGGCACCAGGGUGCAGUCCAGAGUAUCCGGCACCAGGGUGCAGUCCAGAGUAUCCGGCACCAGUGUCUAGUCCGGAACCAAGGGAGACUGCCUGUGACCCGGAACCGGGGGAGUCUGCCUGUGACCCGGAACCGGGGGAGUCUGCCUGUGACCCGGUACCAAGGGAGUCUAUCAGCGACCCGGAACUGAGUAAGUCUGUUGACGAUCCGGAACUAAAUGUGAUUAACUGUGUACAAAAUGAGUCUGCCUACAGUGUGGAAUGGAAUGGGUCUGCCUACGAUCCGGAAUGAUGGGAGUCUGCCUACGGCCCGGAACUGAGCAAGUCUGUCUGCAGUCUGGAGGGCAGUAGGCCUGAGCCGGAACCACCUCCAGUUUAGGUGGGUUGGGGGGGGUGGGGGUGUAGCACAGGUGCCGUCGUAGACGGCUGCCACCCUCCCUUUAGUUUAGGGGUUUAUUUUUUUUUGUUGGGUUGUCUUUGUUUAGGUGCAUUUGGUGUAUGCACCUUUAGGGGGGGGUAAUGUCACGUCCUG